GGCAACGUGGCCGAGCGGUCUAAGGCGCCACGUUAAGGAGUUACAUUCUUAAUCACAUAUCUGCUCAAUCUCAUCUCAUGAUGAGGUUGGGAAGGGUUCCGUGGUCCGAAAGGGCGUGAGUUCGAAUCUCACCGUUGUCA